rnacentral:rRNA from 1 species
CCAGACUCCUACGGGAGGCAGCAGUGAGGAAUAUUGGUCAAUGGCCGGAAGGCUGAACCAGCCAAGUCGCGUGAGGGAAUAAGGCCCUAUGGGUCGUAAACCUCUUUUGUCAGGGAGCAAAGGCGUCCACGUGUGGACGAGAGGAGAGUACCUGAAGAAAAAGCAUCGGCUAACUCCGUGCCAGCAGCCGCGGUAAUACGGAGGAUGCGAGCGUUAUCCGGAUUUAUUGGGUUUAAAGGGUGCGUAGGCGGUUUGAUAAGUUAGAGGUGAAAUGUCGGGGCUCAACCCCGAAACUGCCCCUAAUACUGUUGGACUAGAGAAUAGUUGCGGUAGGCGGAAUGUAUGGUGUAGCGGUGAAAUGCUUAGAGAUCAUACAGAGCACCGAUUGCGAAGGCAGCUUACCAAACUAUAUCUGACGUUGAGGCACGAAAGCGUGGGUAGCAAACAGGAUUAGAUACCCCAGUA